UACCACACCCAUGUGUCUGUCGGUCC
rnacentral:piRNA from 1 species